AACGAGUUAGGGUCUUCUAGGCCCGACCUCCCAACCUAUGUUUAUUGAACCUCUGUUGCUUCGGCGGACCCGCCUCACGGCCGCCGGAGGACCGCUGCAAGGCGUCCUCUGGCCAGUCGUCCGCCGAUGGCCACCACUUAAACUCUGAAUGAAUCGGUCAUAUGUCUAAGUCUAUGAUUAAAUUAAAGCA
rnacentral:misc_RNA from 1 species